CCUACGGGAGGCAGCAGUGAGGAAUAUUGGUCAAUGGGCGCGAGCCUGAACCAGCCAAGUAGCGUGAAGGAUGACUGCCCUACGGGUUGUAAACUUCUUUUAUAAAGGAAUAAAGUGAGGCACGUGCGCCUUUUUGUAUGUACUUUAUGAAUAAGGAUCGGCCAACGCCGGGCCAUCAGCCGCGGUAAUACGGAGGAUCCGAGCGUUAUCCGGAUUUAUUGGGUUUAAAGGGAGCGUAGAUGGGUUGUUAAGUCAGUUGUGAAAGUUUGCGGCUCAACCGUAAAAUUGCAAUUGAUACUGGCAGUCUUGAGUACAGUUGAGGUAGGCGGAAUUCGUGGUGUAGCGGUGAAAUGCUUAGAUAUCACGAAGAACACCGAUUGCGAAGGCAGCUAACUAAACUGCAACUGACAUUGAUGCUCGAAAGUGUGGGUAGCAAACAGGAUUAGAUACCCGAGUAGUC
rnacentral:rRNA from 1 species